AUUGAACGCUGGCGGCAGGCCUAACACAUGCAAGUCGAGCGAGCGGCGGACGGGUGCGUACUGUCUGGGAAACCGUCGGUAGGAGGGGGAUAACUACUGGAAACGGCAGCUAAUAACGCAUAACAUGCGCUGUGCCCAGAUGGGAUUAGCUAGUAGGUGGGGUAACGGCUCACCUAGGCGACGAUCCCUAGCUGGGCUGAGAGGAUGACAAGCCACACUGGAACUGAGACACGGUCCAGACUCCUACGGGAGGCAGCAGUGGGGAAUAUUGCACAAUGGGCGCAAGCCUGAUGCAGCCAUGCCGCGUGUGUGAAGAAGGCCUUCGGGUUGUAAAGCACUUUCAGCGGGGAGGCGUUACCCGCAGAAGAAGCACCGGCUAACUCCGUGCCAGCAGCCGCGGUAAUUC
rnacentral:rRNA from 1 species